GGGAGAAAGAUAGUGAGAGUGCAUUUGAUGGAUUUCAGUGUUUGGGCAAUGUUUUCAGGGUUGUAAAUGCAACUGUUUGCAGUCUUGGAUGUUGGAAUCCAGACAGUGUUGUGAGUGGUAGCGUAAAUGAUGAGUGAGGGUUUAAGAUGUUGUAGAGGUUUAAGGGAAAAGAUGGAAAAUUAUUGAAGUCAAAUGCUUCUCUUAAAAAACCUAUGCUAAUUCAAACAAGGUUACCAAAAUCUAGUAGUAAGGAGUUAAUUCUAAUAAAAAGUACAGCAGAUGCAACUGAAAAAUAGCUCUUCCCAAUUCAAGCAGGUACUGGGGUAAUGCACGCUUCAGUUAUCUAAUCAUAUAAAAGCAAUACUUUUGUAAGAAUUGUAUCCAGGCAAGAAGCUCCAAAAAACUGAAACAGCUCAUAUUAUUGGCAGAGCCAUGACUGUUGACGUUUCAAUAUUGGUCACAAACACAUCUUUUUCCAGAAACAAUCAUGAGCUAGCCCAACACUAAAUAACCUAAGAUUUAAUAGAGCUAAUUAAGCUCACUUUUUACCAUAAAAUAUUCAGAUCAGGAAAAUUUGACCAAGUUGGCUAAAAAUCUGAUCUUAUUUCUUUGCAUUCAGUUCAUCUAUUCUAUAGCACUGACUGCACAUGCAUGGAAAAAGAGGAAGAGAGAUGAGAAAUCUGACUAUAUUUGUGUCCCUAAAAACACGGUUCAGAAUUUUCUCUCACUGAACUUUAAUGACAUUCAACAUUAUGUCAAUAAUUAGAUGGGAAAAUUAAAAUAAUAAUAAUAAUAAUAAAUAAAUAAACAAACAAACAAACAAAAACUGGUCAGAUAAUAUAUACCAACACUAUUGAUCCAAUUAGUAUACGAGGGAAAAAGUUGCGGGACUCUAAUCCAGAAACAGACACAAUCUAUGUUUUGAAAGUAUUAAGGUCUUAAAUAUCAUCAACACCUCACUUGCAUUUGAGAGAGGCAAGACUCAGAACAUCACCAAAUCAGACAGGAUAAGUGUACACCACUGCACAACCUAAUUUACAGACUGAUCUCCGUUCUUGGAUUAACUGUAUUACCUCAAUGCAUAACCUAAUUUACAGAUAAAGACAGGGUCAUUAUUCAGCACCUGUAUCUUCAACAGAUUUCUUAUACUCUGGCUUGAGCUCAUAUGUUCCUUGGUUGGUUCCCCUUUUAUUGCAUACACAUAGCUCAUUCAGUAUCUCUUUCAAAAAUUGCUGCAAUAGAAGAUGCAUAAAUAUUAGGAUUAUACUGUUCAGAAAAUGAAAAACUCAAGUUAAAUUGUUAACAUGCGGUUCUAUAAUGCCAUGUGAGCUUGAAUCAAGGAAAACACAAGUGCAGAAUCAUGGUCUAAAAUAUCCUUC
rnacentral:lncRNA from 1 species